ACACUGGAACUGAGACACGGUUCCAGACUCCUACGGGAGGCAGCAUGGGGAAUAUUGCGCAAUGGGGCGAAAGCCUGACGCAGCCAUGCCGCGUGUGUGAAGAAGGCCUUAGGGUUGUAAAGCACUUUCAAUUGGGAAGAAAAGUUUUGUCGUUAAUAGCGCCUAAGCUCUGACAUUACCUUUAGAAGAAGCACCGGCUAACUCCGUGCCAGCAGCCGCGGUAA
rnacentral:rRNA from 1 species